GUCUACGGCCAUACCACCCUGAACGCGCCCGAUCUCGUCUGAUCUCGGAAGCUAAGCAGGGUCGGGCCUGGUUAGUACUUGGAUGGGUGACCUCAUAGGGGACGCAGGCACUCGUCACGGACC
rnacentral:rRNA from 1 species